CCUACGGGUGGCAGCAGUAGGGAAUCUUGCUCAAUGGGGGAAACCCUGAAGCAGCAACGCCGCGUGGAGGAUGAAGGUUUUCGGAUUGUAAACUCCUGUUGUUAGAGAAGAUAAUGACGGUAUCUAACGAAUAAGCACCCGCUAACUCCGUGCCAGCAGCCGCGGUAAUACGGAGGGUGCAAGCGUUACUCGGAAUGAAUGGGCGUAAAGAGCGCGUAGGCGGGAUAGCAAGUCAGAUGUGAAAACCUAGGGCUUAACCAUAGAACUGCAUUUGAAACUGUUAGUCUAGAGUAUGGGAGAGGUAGGUGGAAUGCUUGGUGUAGGGGUAAAAUCCGUAGAGAUCAAGAGGAAUACUCAUUGCGAAGGCGACCUGCUAGAACAUAACUGACGCUGAUGCGCGAAAGCGUGGGGAGUAAACAGGAUUAGAUACCCUGGUAGUC
rnacentral:rRNA from 1 species